rnacentral:rRNA from 1 species
UAUUCUAACCGUGCAAAGGUAGCGUAAUCGCUUGUCUUCUAAAUAAAGACCAGUAUGAACGGCUAAAUGAGGACAAAUCUGUCUCCUACAACAAAUCAGUGAAACUGAUCUCCCAGUACAAAAGCUGGGAUAAACACAUAAGACGAGAACACCCUGUGGAGCUUAUAAAUAAACGCUCAAUGAUCGUAUAUUUUAAGUUGGGGCGACUUCGGAAAAAAACAAAACUUCCGAGAAACCCAGUAAAACUGAUUAACGAACCAAGUUACCCCAGGGAUAACAGCCCUAUCUUCUUCAAGAGUCCAUAUCGACAAGAAGUUUUACGACCUCGAUGUUGGAUCAGGACACCCUAAUGGUGAAGUAUCUAUUAAAGGUUCG